rnacentral:rRNA from 1 species
CGGGGGGGCAAGCGUUGUUCGGAAUUACUGGGCGUAAAGGGUGCGUAGGCGGCUUUCUAAGUUGGAUGUGAAAACUCUGGGCUUAACCCAGAGCCUGCAUCCAAAACUGGAGAGCUAGGGUUCUGGAGGGGAAAGCGGAAUUCCUGGUGUAGCGGUGAAAUGCGUAGAUAUCAGGAGGAACACCGGUGGCGAAGGCGGCUUUCUGGACAGAUACCGACGCUGAGGCACGAAAGCUAGGGAAGCAAACAGGAUUAGAUACCCUGGUAGUCCUAGCCCUAAACGAUGGAUACUUGCUGUGGGGGGGAUUGAAGCCCCUUGUGGCGAAGCUAACGCAUUAAGUAUCCCGCCUGGGGAGUACGGUCGCAAGGCUG